AGAUCAACCUGGCAGGGUCACGAAGGUGGUUUCCCAGGAUGAGGCCUGUCCCGUGCACUGCGGGCAGGUUGACCCCUGUGAGUUUCCCCACACCCGGGAAAUGACUGCACUGUUUUGUGGCAACGGCGAGCUGUGUUCUUGCUCUCCCCCU
rnacentral:snRNA from 1 species